rnacentral:snRNA from 1 species
UGUGGCUGGGGUGGCCACAACUAACCAAUGCCCUCGCCUUUUACUAGGGCAUUCCGUGUGUCCACCCCGCGUUAAGGCCACUUAACCAAUCUUUGGAACCUACAAGUCUUAACUUGUAA